rnacentral:rRNA from 1 species
UACGUAGGUGGCAAGCGUUGUCCGGAAUCAUUGGGCGUAAAGCGCGCGUAGGUGGCCCUGUAAGUCCGUUGUGAAAGUCAAAGGCUCAACCUUUGAAAGCCGAUGGAUACUGCAGGGCUAGAGUACGGAAGAGGCGAGUGGAAUUCCUGGUGUAGCGGUGGAAUGCGCAGAUAUCAGGAGGAACACCAAUAGCGAAGGCAGCUCGCUGGGACGUUACUGACACUGAGGCGCGAAAGCGUGGGGAGCGAACAGG